CGAGCUCAACCCUUUUCUUUAUUUGCCAGCGGGUUAAGCCGGGAACUUUAAGGAUACUGCCAGUGACAAACUGGAGGAAGGCGGGGACGACGUCAAGUCAUCAUGGCCCUUACGAGUAGGGCUACACACGUGCUACAAUGGCGCAUACAAAGAGAAGCGACCUCGCGAGAGCAAGCGGACCUCAUAAAGUGCGUCGUAGUCCGGAUUGGAGUCUGCAACUCGACUCCAUGAAGUCGGAAUCGCUAGUAAUCGCGGAUCAGCACGCCGCGGUGAAUACGUUCCCGGGUCUUGUACACACCGCCCGUCACACCAUGGGAGUGGGU
rnacentral:rRNA from 1 species